GAUGAACGCUAGCGGCAGGCCUAACACAUGCAAGUCGAGGGAACCGGCGCACGGGUGCGUAACGCGUAUGCAACCUACCUUUCACAGGGGGAUAGCCCGGAGAAAUUUGGAUUAAUAUCCCAUAGUGGAAGAUGGGCAUGCGUCCUAUUAGCUAGUUGGCGAGGUAACGGCUCGCCAAGGCGACGAUAGGUAGGGGUCCUGAGAGGGAGAUCCCCCACACUGGUACUGAGACAGGGACCAGACUCCUACGGGAGGCAGCAGUGAGGAAUAUUGGUCAAUGGUCGGAAGACUGAACCAGCCAUGCCGCGUGCAGGAAGGCGGCCUAUGGGUUGUAAACUGCUUUUAUAUGGGAAGCGGUACCAUAUGAAUAAGCAUCGGCUAACUCCGUGCCAGCAGCCGCGGUAAUUC
rnacentral:rRNA from 1 species